rnacentral:rRNA from 1 species
UAAAGUGGCGACCGGGUGAGUAACACGUGACUAACCUACCUUCGAGUGGGGGAUAACCUCGGGAAACCGGGGCUAAUACCGCAUAAUAUCUUCGGGAUGAAAAGCCGAAGAUCAAAGGAGCAAUUCGCUGGAAGAGGGAGUCGCGGCUGAUUAGCUAGUUGGCGGGGUAAUGGCCCACCAAGGCUUUGAUCGGUAGCCGGCCUGAGAGGGCGCACGGCCACACUGGAACUGAAACACGGUCCAG